rnacentral:rRNA from 1 species
AAUCAACGCUGGCGGCGUGCCUAACACAUGCAAGUCGCACGAGAAAGGGACUUCGGUCCUGAGUACAGUGGCGCACGGGUGAGUAACACGUGAAUAAUCUACCUCCGAGUGGGGAAUAACCUAGAGAAAUCUGGGCUAAUACCGCAUAACACUUACGAGUCAAAGCAGCAAUGCGCUUGGAGAGGAGUUCGCGGCAGAUUAGUUAGUUGGCAGGGUAAUGGCCACCAAGACGAUGAUCUGUAUCCGGCCUGAGAGGGCGCACGGACACACUGGAACUGAAACACGGUCCAGACUCCUACGGGAGGCAGCAGUGGGGAAUUUUGCGCAAUGGGGGAAACCCUGACGCAGCAACGCCGCGUGGAGGAUGAAAUCCCUUGGGAUGUAAACUCCUUUCGAUCGGGAAGAUAAUGACGGUACCGAGAGAAGAAGCCCCGGCUAAC